UACGUAGGUGGCAAGCGUUGUCCGGAUUUACUGGGCGUAAAGAGCGCGCAGGCGGCCAACUAAGUCGGACGUGAAAUCCCCAGGCUCAACCUGGGAACUGCGUCCGAUACUGGAUGGCUUGAAUCCGGGAGAGGGAUGCAGAAUUCCAGGUGUAGCGGUGAAAUGCGUAGAUAUCUGGAGGAAUACCGGUGGCGAAGGCGGCAUCCUGGACCGGCAUUGACGCUGAGGAGCGAAAGCCAGGGGAGCAAACGGG
rnacentral:rRNA from 1 species